AUUCCAUGUGAUCUCUUGUCCUCCAGCAGGCUAGCUCAGGUCAUUUCAUAUGAGUAGUGGGACAGGACUUCAAAAGAAAGAGCUGAGAUGUGCGAUGCAUGUUGAGGCUUAGACAGAGAAUUUGUACCAUCUCUCUGCUGCAUUCCAUUGGCCAAAAAUGUCGUGAUGUCAGUUCAGGUUUAAGGGGAGGAGAAAUAGUCUCCCUCCACCUCUUGAUGGGGGAUGCUGCAAAGUCACAAUUCAAAGAGUAUGAAUUCAGGGAGGAUGGAAAGAGUGUGGCAAAUUUUGUAAUCUACCACAGUUUACUCUUUGACCAUAAUUAUUCACAUUCCUCCCACAGGAAAAAUAUGCUUACCACCAUUCCAAGACCCCCAAACACCUCUUGCAAUUAUGUCAUCAGGCUUGAAGACCAGGAUCUUGUGGUUCACAUCAGAUUCUAUGACAAGGUACUUUCUUUGCAUGAGGAUUCAACAACCCCUGUGGCUAACCCUCUGCUUGCAUUUACUCUCAUCAAACGCCUGCAGUCUGACUGGAGGAAUGUGGUACAUAGUCUGGAGGCCAGUGAGAACAUCCGAGCUCUGAAGGAUGGCUAUGAGAAGGUGGAGCAAGACCUUCCAGCCUUUGAGGACCUUGAGGGAGCAGCAAGGGCCCUGAUGCGGCUGCAGGACGUGUACAUGCUCAAUGUGAAAGGCCUGGCCCGAGGUGUCUUUCAGAGAGUCACUGGCUCUGCCAUCACUGACCUGUACAGCCCCAAACGGCUCUUUUCUCUCACAGGGGAUGACUGCUUCCAAGUUGGCAAGGUGGCCUAUGACAUGGGGGAUUAUUACCAUGCCAUUCCAUGGCUGGAGGAGGCUGUCAGUCUCUUCCGAGGAUCUUACGGAGAGUGGAAGACAGAGGAUGAGGCAAGUCUAGAAGAUGCCUUGGAUCACUUGGCCUUUGCUUAUUUCCGGGCAGGAAAUGUUUCGUGUGCCCUCAGCCUCUCUCGGGAGUUUCUUCUCUACAGCCCAGAUAAUAAGAGGAUGGCCAGGAAUGUCUUGAAAUAUGAAAGGCUCUUGGCAGAGAGCCCCAACCACGUCGUAGCUGAGGCUGUCAUCCAGAGGCCCAAUAUACCCCACCUGCAGACCAGAGACACCUACGAGGGGCUAUGUCAGACCCUGGGUUCCCAGCCCACUCUCUACCAGAUCCCUAGCCUCUACUGUUCCUAUGAGACCAAUUCCAACGCCUACCUGCUGCUCCAGCCCAUCCGGAAGGAGGUCAUCCACCUGGAGCCCUACAUUGCUCUCUACCAUGACUUCGUCAGUGACUCAGAGGCUCAGAAAAUUAGAGAACUUGCAGAACCAUGGCUACAGAGGUCAGUGGUGGCAUCAGGGGAGAAGCAGUUACAAGUGGAGUACCGCAUCAGCAAAAGUGCCUGGCUGAAGGACACUGUUGACCCAAAACUGGUGACCCUCAACCACCGCAUUGCUGCCCUCACAGGCCUUGAUGUCCGGCCUCCCUAUGCAGAGUAUCUGCAGGUGGUGAACUAUGGCAUCGGAGGACACUAUGAGCCUCACUUUGACCAUGCUACGUCACCAAGCAGCCCCCUCUACAGAAUGAAGUCAGGAAACCGAGUUGCAACAUUUAUGAUCUAUGCAAACACCAAUGCCAUUGAGUAGGCUCCCGAAGUUCCUCCUGAGUUGGAUGAUUGUCUUUCAAGUAUUUCUCUCAGAGUUGAAGAAAAGACCAUGAGAAGGAAUCUAUGCAGAUGUGACAUCAUAUGACAGGGUAGGGAAGUCGGUGGCAGUUUUAACUCGGGCUUCUUCCUCUGGUCUUGUAGCUGAGCUCGGUGGAAGCUGGAGGAGCCACAGCCUUCAUCUAUGCCAACCUCAGCGUGCCUGUGGUUAGAAAUGCAGCACUGUUUUGGUGGAACCUGCACAGGAGUGGUGAAGGGGACAGUGACACACUUCAUGCUGGCUGUCCUGUCCUGGUGGGAGAUAAGUGGGUGCUCCCCAUGAGGAGGUGGGAAAACAAAGAAGAGAUCAAUAAGCAGAUGGACGUGUUUAUGUCACAUAUACAUCCAGGAGCACUUAGCUCUGAAACAGAAAGAGAAGUGGAAGGGGGCUCAUAAGCUGAGGUGGAGGCUGCCAGGAGAUGCCACCCGUUUUUCUCUCAGUACUCUGGAAUGGCUUCAUGGGGAACAUGGGCUUCUAAAAUGAAGGUGGCCAACAAGUGGAUACAUGAGUAUGGACAGGAAUUCCGCAGACCCUGCAGCUCCAGCCCUGAAGACUGAACUGUUGGCAGAGAGAAGCUGGUGGAGUCCUGUGGCUUUCCAGAGAAGCCAGGAGCCAAAAGCUGGGGUAGGAGAGGAGAAAGCAGAGCAGCCUCCUGGAAGAAGGCCUUGUCAGCUUUGUCUGUGCCUCGCAAAUCAGAGGCAAGGGGGAGGUCGUUACCAGGGAACACUGAGAAUGUACAUUUGAUCUGCCCCAGCCACGGAAGUCAGAGUAGGAUGCACAGUACAAAGGAGGGGGGAGUGGAGGCCUGAGAGGGAAGUUUCUGGAGUUCAGAUACUCUCUGUUGGGAACAGGACAUCUCAACAGUCUCAGGUUCGAUCAGUGGGUCUUUUGGCACUUUGAACCUUGACCACAGGGACCAAGAAGUGGCAAUGAGGACACCUGCAGGAGGGGCUAGCCUGACUCCCAGAACUUUAAAGACUUUCUCCCCACUGCCUUCUGCUGCAGCCCAAGCAGGGAGUGUCCCCCUCCCAGAAGCAUAUCCCAGAUGAGUGGUACAUUAUAUAAGGAUUUUUUUUAAGUUGAAAACAACUUUCUUUUCUUUUUGUAUGAUGGUUUUUUAACACAGUCAUUAAAAAUGUUUACAAAUCA